GCUGCUUGUGUGGUACUUUUCUUUCCCCGUUGUGUCCGCGCCUCAUUUUCUAACUUCAUUUCUCCAUCUUUUACUUAAUAGGGUUUGUUCCUAAAAUAUCAAAGACUGACAGGGUGCUCAUGUGUUGGUGGAUUUUCACGGGCCUAACCCACAUGGUCCUUGAGGGGUAUUUUGUUUUUACUCCAGAUUUCUACAAAAAGACUACUCCAGUUUACCUUGCUGAAGUCUGUAAGUAACAAUUUAGCAAGUCUUUCAUCCAAACCAGAACAGUUUAUUUAUUGUUGAUUUGGCCUAUAAAGUACCAACAAAAACAAAAUUUUGCAGGGAAAGAAUACAGCAAAGGUGAUUCAAGAUACGUAGGGCGGGAUUCUGGAGUUGUUAGUGUUGAAGGAAUUACAGCUGUCAUAGAGGGGCCAGCAUGCCUUCUUGCAGUGUAAGUAUCAUUGUCGAGAGAUAUUAAGUUGUCAUGCACCUUGAGAUUGACACAAUUAGGGGGCAUUUGGACAUAAGAAUUGUAAAAUUCCAAAACAGGGUGAAAAACUUGUUUCAAGUGAAAAUGGUUUUUGAAAUUUAGAGUUGCGUUUGUACAUGAAUAUAAUUUUGGGUUGUUUUUGAAGUUUUGUGAGUGAUUUGAGUGAAAAUUUUGGAAAACAGCCUUUUGGAGUUUUUCAAAUUUUCAAAAAUUUUCAAAAUGUAUCUUUAAGUGAAAUUGAAAAUUUUGUGAACAAACGUUGGUUUAAAAAAAAGUGAAUGUUUUUCUGGAAAAAAGGAAAAUUUCUUAUGUCCAAACGGGCUUAAUGCGUUUUUCCUAAGGGGUCGUUUGGUUCACAUACUAGUUUUUGCAUGGAUUAUAAUGCAAGGUGUUUUAUGCGGGAAACAACAAUGAAGGGAUUAUUUUGCAUUGAAUAAUAAUGUAGGAUUAUUUUGUGGUGAGUAAUUAUAAUACACGGAGUAACUUAUCAAAAAAGUAAAUAAUACAGGGAAUAUUAAGUAAGGAUUACUUACUUUAAGUGUAUUUUUUUCUUUAAAUACUUUUUAUGCCCGUAAUGUGAAUACACUAUUCUUAUUCCACAUUCUAUCCCGCAUAAAAUAACACAUAAAUUCCCGUAUAACUUAGUGCAGGUAUUUUUGAUAGCGUCAGCUAAACACUGCAUUAGUUUAUCUGAUGAUUCUUUUUUUCCUUAUCUGAUGAUUAAUUAUGCGGAAGAUUAUUUUUUCCCAAUUUCUUUAGCCAAAUAUUUUACUACUAUUAUUUUAUGUGAGAUUUGAUGCUGGGAUUACUUCUACUAGUCCAUUCAACCAAACGACCCCUAAGAGUGUAUGGACAGAGCAUGAGUAUGCAUUCAUAUCUACUUCUGUAAACCUCAUUGUGCUCUUGGUAUUGACAUUGGCAGGUAUGCUAUAGCUGCUAAGAAGUCAUACAGGCACGUACUUCAAAUAGCCAUUUGUUUGGGACAGCUCUAUGGCACGGCCGUAUACUUCAUCACAGCUCUAUUGGAAGGCGAUAAUUUUGCUGCAAGCCCCUUCUACUACUAUGCUUACUAUGUUUUCGCAAAUCACUUCUGGGUUUGGAUACCAACUCUCAUAGUGAUCCAUUGCUGGAAGAAAAUAUGUGCUGCAGUCAAGGUCCACGAGCAGAAGACCAAGACCCGCUGAGGUGAUUCUUAACAUUGAAAUCCAAAUGCCUCAACUGAAUAACAUUGUCACAAUUUUCUUCUCCUGGUUCUUUUUUAUGGUUGUUGAAUUUAAUUGGCUUCAUGAGAAACAAUGCUGGAAUAUUAUUUAGAUGAGAUGUCCUAAAUAUCUGAUCAUUCCUGCUGAAAUAUUGUCAUUCUUACAUCAGAAACAAUGCUGGAAUAUUAUUUAUAUGAGAUGUCCUAAAAAUCUGAUCAUUCCUGCAUAAAUAUUGUCCUUCUUGCUUCACAUCAUUAAAAAAGCAGUUGCAUUUUGAAAACUAAGACCAAAGCUAUUAUAUUUUUUUGUCCUCCGUCCAUAUUUCUUAGUUUAGCGUAUUGUUUAAAUACUACCGGGUUGCAUGAAAGAAAAGACAAAAAUGGUAUGAUGCCAGAAUAAAUUUAGCAUUUUUGCAACUUGCAGUGUUCUUUAGUGCGGUAAAUUCACUGUACAUUACUAUAUUACAUGUCUUAGACAACAGGGAAAUCCUACUUAUGAUUUUUCCCGUGUGGACUGUCCUGUCCAUCAAAACUAAAGGUGUCAAACGGGCCUACCGGUCCGGGCCGGUUCAAAUUUUUUUUGACCCCUAUGGUUUCCGGUCCAAGCCGGGCCGGUUCCGGGUUGUACAUUAAUGGGUUUAACGGGUUCGUGUUCAUACGGGUAAAAAUUGAACCGUAUGAAUUCUUGGGGAGAAGGAAACCGGGGGUCUAUUUGGAAACAGCCUCUCUACCCAAGGGUAGGGGUAAGGUCUGCGUACAUACNNNNNNNNNNNNNNNNNNNNNNNNNNNNNNNNNNNNNNNNNNNNNNNNNNNNNNNNNNNNNNNNNNNNNNNNNNNAGGGUAGGGGUAAGGUCUGCGUACAUACUACCCUUCCCAGACCCCACUAAGUGGGAUUAUACUGGGUUGUUGUUGUUGUUGUUGUUGUUGUAACUGCUACUUUUAUUUCUUAAUUUAAAGUUUCAAACUUAUAAAAUGAAAGGUUUACAUUUUUUUCAACAAGUAAUGUUUUGCAUCACCUUAGUAAGUUCAUCAUAAUCAAUAUGAACCGUCGACCUUCUUCUGCAAUGUUAAAUUUGGAUGGGUUUACAUGUGUUAAUAUAUCUCCAAGUUUCUCGUGUUCUGGGCUAUCAACAUCUUCCUUUCCUUGAUUUCUUCGUUUCGAUUUGAUCCAAUCUCUGAAACAUACUAAAACUUCCAAAGCAUUGCUUCCCAAUGAGUGGUGGGUGUCUNNNNNNNNNNNNNNNNNNNNNNNNNNNNNNNNNNNNNNNAUAAAUUAGUCUCCAAGUUGUUGUCUUGCUUGGCUAAAUGCACUCUCCGAUGGAACAGUAGAAAUUGGCACAUUCAGCACGUCUCGAGCCAUAGCGAAAAGAACAGGAAAUUGCUUUCCAUUCUCAUGCCACCAUCCCAACAGUGAAAAUUCAUUUGUGCGAGGCUCUUUUUGCUUCUGAAAGUAGAAUUGAAGUUCAUCAAUAUUCCUGCUAUUGGUUUGAGUGUUAGAAAAUGUAAAAAAAAUAUUAAAACUAUCAAGGCCUUCUUCAUCAUCCACAGUAGCAGAAGUGUUGCACUGCAUAGUGAGAUUAAUAAUGCCUGCAGCACGAGCAGCAUUAUCACAUUCAUUUGUAUAAUAAUUAUAUAGUUUUUGUAAAUAUUCAUUUAGCUUGUUCAUAGAGACAUAUAAAGUUGGGAUUUCAGUUUCUCCAAUCUCCAUAUAAGUAUAUAAAACAUUCAUUAAUUGGUGACAAUCAGACAUCUUAAUAGAAAGAUUUAAAACUGAACCAAUUAAAUAAAUCGGGGGAAUUGAAAAGAAAUAUUUUUUGAAUUUUGCUUGCAUUUUUUCAACAUCCUUAUAUUUUUCUUUCUUCUUAAAUUCAGAUAGUAGAAAAGAAAUUUCAACUAUAUGGACUAAAGCCAUAGUAACAAAGGGUAAUAUGCUCCAGAAAACUCAACUGUAGUUGUAUAAAAUUUAUAUAAAAAUUUAACAUCAUUAAUGACCUCCCAAGUAUCACUUGUUACCAUACGCCUUGGAUCAGUACAAUGCGCAUUAGCAACUUUAGUUAUUGGGAAUCUAUAUUUGCAACAAUAUUUUAAAAAUAUAUAUAUGUAUAAUUUCAUCUAGUAACAAUUUCGUCUGGCAUGAAUCUAUGUUUAAGGUUAUACUGGACAAGAAAGGUGGCUAAACAAAUAACGUAUGUAUAUUUGAUAUUGUCUAUGAAGUCUAAAGAUAUCAGCUCUACAAGUACGUCUAGGGAUACCUUUAAAUAAAGAAUUGUAAUUCCUUUGAAUAUACAUAAUAAGAUAUGAUGAAGAAGCAAAAGAAAACGGUAGACAACCCAAAGUAAUUAUUUUUGCUAACUCCUCACGAUCCCUCAUUUAAUCAUAUUUCACUAGACCUCCAGUAGUAUGAUUAAUAGUUAUUAAUCAUUUUUGCUAACUCCUCACGAUCCCUCAUUUUAUCAUAUUUUAUUAGACCUCCAGUAGUAGGUUUAAUAAUUGUUUGAUUGUCAUCACCAUCAAGGCCCUAUUCUAUGAGAUGGUCAACUCUCAUAUGUCUACUAAGCGUCCCAAUCCCCCCUAAAUUUCCUCCAGUCAAAUGUUUAACAGUAUCCUUACAAAUUUUGCAUCUAACUCUAUCAGUACCUUCUAUUAUUUGAAAAACAUUCCAAACCUUACUUCUUUCUCUACGAUUAGUACAUGUGGUCUACUAGUAGUGCCACGACCACCACCCCUUGUACCAACUCUAAUACUACCGACUCCAACACUAAUAGGUGUUGCUGGUUUCUCAUCUUCCAUUCCUAUUUUAUUAUCUUCUAUUCCAAAAAUCUUCUUGUAAUUGUUCAUAAUCUAUAUUAUCAUUAGGCGAUGUUUCGGAAACAUGUGUAAAUUCGGUAUCACUAUUACUACCAGAUGCUGAAGGACAAUCUCUUUUUUUUAUUUCCCCUACCAGUAACUUUUUUACACGCUCUUUUAGCAGCAUUCAACAUAUUUUAAAAAUGAAAGUAUAAACUAAAAUUAAAUAUGCAAUUAAAAUAGUAAAUAAAAGAAAGAGUUGCAGAGAGCGCACCGAAUUCGACAAUAAAAGUAGAACUUGAUUAAGCAAUUCCGAUGUUACCACGAACAAACAUCAACUCGUCAAGCAAGUAUUUCAACUUUUAACUUCAAUUGUUCAAAGUUGAAAAUUCAAACUCAAAUUCCGAAUGACAAAACACGAUAAAUUAAAUUCAAGAAAAGUGAGCCAAAUAAAAUUAGAAGAUGAAAUGAUGAAUUGAAGUAUUGCAAAUUGGAGAAUGAGAGAAAUUGCGAUUGAGAUAUGAAAUUUGAGUGAAGAAAUGAAGGAGCGGGAGGGGGUAGGGGUAUUUAUAGUUUUUAAAAAGGUUAAUUUUGUAAAUUCAAAAAAAGAUUAAAAACAUAAAAUUAAAAAAGAAAAGACCAUUUCUUCAAUAGAUCCGUUGGCCAACAGAUCAGUUCUGAAAACUGAGUCAGCCAACGGAUAGUGGGCCCCACCUGCUUUGGAAAAUUAAAAAAAAAAAUUUACCGUUGAACGGGGCCGGUUCCGGUCCGGGUUAACCAGUAUGGGUACUGUUCACGCCUUCCGGGAUACCCGGGUCCGGUUAAUCGGAAAAUAAAACUAAACCUACCAAACCCCUCCUACCCCCCUACCCAACCCACCCAGCCCCUUAUGUACCGGUCCUGUCCGGUCCCGGUUUGUACCGGUCUGGGCCGGUCCGGUAACGGAUAGGUCCGACCCGUUUGACAGCUUUAAUCAAAACCAAACAAUAAAAAAAAGGAUUGAAAUAACAGUUCCCCUUGUCCGUGACUUAGCCGUACAUUUGGCCUACUAGACGACCAACAACAAUAACAACAACCUAGUAUAAUCUCAUAAGUGUGGUCUGGGAUGUAAUAUGUUUCCAAAGAUGAAAAACAAGGUAGGAGUCGUUGGUGGCGAAAGGGGAAAAAAAGAAGAAGCUCUCACUGCCCUGGUACGGGUCAUAGUUAUCUGCUACCACCAUCUUUGUGGGAGUUAGCAAAUGUAUGAUAGAAUAGAUAGUACUUGAGGUACACAUAAACUAAUACGGAUACCUCUCGUAUUCUGUGGGGCUGAAUCCACAUAAAGCAGAAGACCGGACACCACCAUGACUUUGAGGAAAGUAACUGAAACAAUAGUAGAUUCAGCCCCACAGAAUAGCAUCCCAGUCUUGAUCUCAACAUAGAAACCAUGAGAAACAAGCACUACAUAACAGGUAGUGAGAGAUAAUUAAUGCACAUAACAAGUGAAAGUAAUAACCUGUAAGUAACAUGCGGCAUCAUAUUAAAUGGUACAGGGGCAGCCUAGUACAUGAAGCAUAACGCAAAGUGGGUUUGGGAAGGGCCCGUACCCCAAGUGGGUGUGAUGUAGGAGGAGUACCCUGAUGCAAGUAUCAGUGGCUGAUUUCACGGCUUGAACUCAUGACCUAUAUAUCACAUGGAGACAACUUUACUGUUGUCCAAGGCUACCCUUCACAAAAUAUCAAACUGUAUAGCUUAAAAAUUCACUUACGCUGAUGUCUAGCUGCAUAAAUCCGAUCAAUGAAAAAAAGUGCUUCAGAUGUAUUCAUUGAAGAGCUCUUGUUCAAUAUACAACUUUCAUUUCCAUUUCAACAUUCAGAAUAGUUACAUCAAUUGCAGAAUUUCAAAAAUUUAUUUAACGUAGUAAGGAAGAUCAAGGACAUAAAGGAGGAAAUAAGCCCAAGUGACACCAGAAAUUCCACCAAAAAAGAAACCACCUGUGAACUUAGACCAUCCCUCUGCUGUUUGCAAUUGGUCUGGCACCUUUUUCCUCCCUGUCAAUGUCAAUGCUGGUGCUGUUGAUGCCUCUCCUUCUUUGAAUGAUGAUAUUCCAUAAAUGGUCAAGCAUAUGCUGAGAAUCACUACAAGUCCUGCUGCUGCCAAUGAACCAGCUCCUCCUGCAUUAACAGUUAGCGGUGUCAAAUGAACGGGUUAGGCUGAAUUUGAGCAGGUUAAAAUGGGUUGAGUUAAUAAAGGGAACAAUCAUUAACCUGUCUAAACUUGGACAGGGUGUUUUUCAUGGACAUUCAGCUGAACUCUGACAUCUUUGACACGGAGCUUACAUAUAUAUAUUUAAAGUAUUACUAGAUUUUUAACAAAUAUUAAAUUUUGAGCCGAUACUUUUUGGAGUACAAUGAGUUCAUCGUUAAGAAUAUAAAUGCAUGAAGUUAAAAUUUUGAAAUGGACUUUACCUGCAUAUUCAGUAUUUCUUAAUGGACCAGCCUUUACAAAUGGGCCAACUAGUAGGAAUCCAUGGGCCAGGCCCACCUCUACUCCUCGGAGAAGUGGGUUCACUGCGGUCCGGUAGGCCGGUAAGUUGGACAAGUACCAAGCAAUCAAUGGGCUUGAGGUCACUGGAGUUUCAAGACUUCCAAUGAAAGGGUCACCAUUCAGAGGCUGAAUCACUUGGUAAGUAGGCUGCAUAACCAAAAAAAAGGAAAAAAAGAAGAAGAUGAAUUAAAGGAGGUUUGUUGAGAAUUAUUGACAUCCAAUAAACAAAAAGUGGGCAGGGCUACAUGGUUCAAAGAUGUUUAAUCGAAUUGCUUUUGUCGGAAAAUUAUAUCGUGUAUAUAGAUCACAAUUUUUUUUAGAAAACAUGUAUAAAAAUUGUUGAAUCGUUUUGAAAUAAGAUAUAAACUUCCAGCAUAACGGGAACUGUAAACCAAAAUAGUAGUUGUUUUAGAUCACCCAUAAACUACGAGGGGUUCAUGUAGCCUAUGUUGGAUUAGUCACUUUCUAGGCCGAGGCAAAAGGUUGAGAAUAACUCAUUGUUGACUAACAUUUAUGAAUUAUACUUACGAAUCAAGAAAAGACAAUGAGCGCACAAAGCAUCAGCGAUCACGCAGGAUCGGGGAAGGACUGUACCUCAGAAGAUGUAAUUUAGGUAGUCUAUCUUGAUACAAACAUCAAUGGCUAGCUUCGUGCACACUAGAGAAUAUAAUUUGGCAUUUAUAAAUAGAAUUUUUGUAUUUUUCUCUAUCUCCCGGAGAAAAGGAGAUUUGAGGUGACUAGCUUAGUAACUUAUUCAAUUGAAGUUUGUUAAACUUUGGCUCUGCUACCUCUGCCAAGAAAAAGUACUACCAUCGUUUCAAUCUGAAUGACACACUUUUUUAUUAGCCCGUUCCAAAAAAUAGUAUAUUUUUAUAUUUAAAAAUAAUUUAACUUUAAGCUUUGCAUUCUACCCAUUUUACUCAUGAAAAACUUUUAUAGCCACAUAAAUAUUAUGGCCCCACUAAGCUUUUUUCCUUUAAGCUUUUAGUACCACAUGUUUCAAAAGUCUAGGUAUUUUUUUCUUAAACUCUAUGCCAAAUCAAACUAAAAGGGAAGCUCGGUACACUACGAUCUCGCUAUGCGUGAGGUCCAGUGAAGGGUCAGACCGCAAGAAUUUAUUGUACGCAAUCUUACUCUGCAUUUCUAUAAAGGGUUGUUUUCACGGCUUGAACUUGUGAUCUCAUGACACGUGACAACAAAUUUACUAGUUACGCCAGUGCCACGUCAAACUACAUCAUCCAAAUUAAAACGGAUGGCGUAUUACUAGUGAAAUUCAAGAACAUUACAAGACUGAAGAGAAGUGAAUUGGUAUCUUACUUUGUCUGUUUGGACAGCCUUGAUGGUGAAACAAGAUUUUCUAGUUGAAGGAAAGAUUUUAAAAGGAGCACCAGAAAUGCCUUUGGGAGUAACAAGUCCACUGCCUCUUGUUAAAGAAGAAGCAAAUUUGCUCUUGAGCUGGCUGGCCAUUGUGGUGGAAACAGCAGUAGCCAUUUUGGAAAGUUUUGAUGGUCACUGUUUUUUGGUCAGAUAGGAAAUAGUAUAACAAAAAGAUUUAAACUAGUAAUACAGUUGGAUGUAUCAUGUGACUGAUAAACAAAGUCUUUUGAUUUGUGGUUCUGAGGGUUGAUUUAUUCUUACGUGGGAGCUUGUCAUUGGUCAUAUAUAUAACGUUAUCCCUUGUCUCAACUGCAUUGGUUAUGAAUGGAUAGCUAACUCCGGGAGAUAUAUACGGUGUUUAUAUUAACUUUAAGAAUCUCAAAUUAAAACGAGAAUAUAUAUUAUUUAAGCAUUGACUUUAGGAUAAAAGUAUAUCAAGAUACAAGCUAGCAUUAAUUGAUUUGGUGUAAAAAACAGGUCCAAGUCCUUUUUUUUGUGUGCGCGUGCGCUUCAAUUUGUUAAAAGGUCGUGGUUUAACUGCAAUAUCAUAAUUAAUUAAGUUAGAUGUCUAUUCCCCUCCAUUAACUCUUAAAAAGCAGGAGUACUUAGUAAUCUGUACGAACUCUAUGUAUUGGGCAAAAUAAAUAUUACACGUGCCAUUAAUUAUGUAACUGAUAUGGCAAGAUAUGUGAAUCACUAGAAAAACGACAACGGGUAAAGAGUAUUUGAAAAGAUGUGAGUUUUAGGCUCCGUUUGGCCGUAAGUUUUGUCAAAAUAAAUUUAAGAUUUAUUUUUAAAACUCGUGUUUGGCCAUAAAUUUUACUCAUAUUUUGGCUAAAUCCCAAAUCGCAAAUUUCAAAUCUCAAAUCAGCUAUUGAGCCGAAUUUGGAUCAAAAUUCCCAAAACUUGGGAAUUAUAUACAUGUUUUUCCAAAAUAAAGUUGGAAAAUAUGUUUUGAAAACGUAUGUCCAAACACAUUUUCAUGUUCAAACCAAACUUCAUCCAAAUCAGAUUUUUCAAAAUAAAUUUGAAAUCUAUGGCCAAAUGCUAGCUUAGUAAGUAGUACGAGCAAAACGUCUAAAAGACAAGAAGAAACGGUUGCUCGAGUCUCUUUAGUGAUUUAAAGAAGCACCAGUGGAAUGAACCAAAACCAUAAAAAGGAUAGAUUCUUUGAUUUUCAAUUAAUGAACAUGAAUGGUUACAAAUGUUACAAAAUGAAAUAGUUACGAUUACCAAUUAUAACGUUUCAUUAAUAUCAUUAAUGCUCAUAAUGACUCGAUAUAAAGGGAAAAAAUGUUGUACUUAGAGAUAACUAUAUAAGGAACAGAAAUGUCAUAUGUAUGGAUACGUUUAGAUUAUUAUUAAAAUAUAAUUAUUUAUUUUUGCUUUAUAUGGAUUGCUCUGCUAUUCUAAUUUCCUUUCUUACUACAAGAAUAUUGAUUUUCUUGAUUAUCCGUAAUCCGAGUACUUAAAUAGGCUUUGACCAAAAUCUUAUUUUUUGGUUAAAAAAAUUGGUUCCAUAAUCGAAAUCUAAUAAUCUUUUCACUUUUCAGAUUCAUUUUUCUGUCAAGAAAUCACGUCGAACGUUAAGGACAACAACCAACAAAAUCAGCAACAUCAGUUGAACCAACAAAAUCAACAAGGGGAUGGAACUCCAGUCCUUUCACCACGAAACUCUCCUCGACAAUCCCAAGAAGGGACACCCGACAGAACUGAAUCACAUGUGAAUGACCAACAUGAGGAUGAUCAAGCCAUUGAUGAAGCAUUAAAGCAAUUGAUCGCAGAAUAGGUCAACAACGCUCCUCAAGCUUUUGUUAGUGGGUUGCCAACUGUACCACCGACUCCACUUCCAAAUAACAUCGCAACCAUAGAAAAUUCACGCUCGGGACUUGCCAAUUCGGGUAGUGGAGGUACUCCCAGCGAAUCUCGCGAUGGAAGGUCAUGUAUUCCAAUUAAUUCUGAUUUACAAAGUUUAUUACUAACUUUGCAGAAACAACUUAAGGAGUAGAAUGAUCGCAUAGAGUAGAUACCUGGUGUUCCGUCUAUAAUCAAAGGAGUGAACAUGGAUAAAUAUUCUCAACAACCUUGGAAGCGAAGUGCCGCUCCUUUGCCUAUUCUAAAAAAGUUCAAGAUGCCCGAUAUUCCAAAGUAUGACGGGACAACCGAUCCACGAGACCAUAUAAUCGCAUUUACAACUAGCGUGAAAGGAAAAAAUUUGACUAAGCAAGAGACUGAAUCAGUGCUGGUCAAAAGAUUCAGUGAAAUACUCACAAAUGGAGCACUAACAUGGUAUUCUCUUUUACCUGAAAACUCUAUUGAUUCUUUUGCCGAGCUUGCAAAUUCAUUUAUAAAAGCACACUCGGGAGCUCAGAAAGUUGAGAAGAGGAUAGAAGACAUCUUCAAAAUAAAAUAAGGAGAUAUGGAAUUACUCAGGGAAUUCGUGGAUAGAUUCCAACGUGAAAGAAUAAUGCUACCACGCAUACCUGACAAUUGGGCUGCUAUGGCCUUUUCAAGUAAUUUAAAUGAGAAGAGCUCAGAAGCCACGAGGAAACUCAAAGAAAGCUUACGAGAAUUCCCUGCAACAACUUGGAAUGAUGUUUAUAACCAAUAUAAAACGAAGCUGCGUAUAGAAGAAGAUACUAUCACUCAGCCCCGGUGAGAUCAAAGAGUAAGUUCGAGGCAACCAAAAACUGAAAAUAAGGUCCGGUAAGAACAACUACGAACCUUACGUAGGACCAGCAGGAAGGGAUUAACGUUCAAAAUAAGAGAAUCUGAGGUACGAUCCCAGAAUAAAGGACAGAGAUUCGGGUUAGCCUCCCAGGUUUGGAAAGAAGCGAGACACACGAGAUCGCGGGAUAACGAUAGAAGUUCAAAAGCGAAGAUUGGUGGUUAUAGUAUUAAUGUUAGCACAUCUAAGUUGGUAGCUGUUUUAAGAAGUAUAGGAGAUAAGGUGCGGUGGCUAAAGAAAAUGAGGUCGGACUCAAAUAGAAGAAACCCUGAUUUCUGGCGCGAGUUUCAUAAUGAUCAUGGUCACAAAAUAACAUAUUGCAGAUUGCUACAAGAUGAAGUAGAGAACUUAUUAAAAUAAGGCUACUUAACUGAUUUGUUUAAUGAGAAGGGUAAGUAAUCAUACAUGAAGAAUAGACAGGAGCCACCAAAACCUCUAUCACCAAAAAUAACAGUUAAUUAAUGCCAUAAGUGGAGGGUAUGAGAUCAAUGGCAUGACGUAUACGGCUGCAAAGAAGGUGUCAAAAAUCAUAAUCACCCACGGGAAAUGAGUUCGCCAAGUUUUGGAAGAAGACAAUAUGAUAUUUGAUGAUGCCGACGCAGAUGGCGUGUUGAUCUCACACAAUGAUACACUGGUAAUAUCUUUACUUGUACAUAAUACUAAUGUAAAAUGAGUUUUGGAUGAUCCAGGUAGCUCUAUAAAUAUUAUUCUUCUAAGAGUGGUAAAUAGGAUGCAAGUUGAUGACAAAUUGGUACCCAAAGCAGUACCUUAUCUGGAUUUGACAAUUCAAGCGUUGUCAAAAAAGGAAAAUAAUACUCAUCACAUUCGCAGAAGGAGUAGUUAAAGAUACGAAAUUUCAAGUGAUAGAUAUGGAUAUGAAGUAUAAUAUAAUCAUAGGUAGACCUUGGAUUCAUGAGAUGGAUGUUGUUUCAUCUACCUUGCAUCAGGUUAUCAAGUUCCCUUCGUAAUAGGGAAUAAGAUAAAUACACGGUGAUCAACAGGCUUAUCAAAGCUUUAAUUCAGUGGCAAAUUCAAGCGCAAAAAGUGACGUUGUAGGUGAAAAAUAGCAAUUAUAAAAUUCAAUUGAGGGUUUAGCAACACAAAUUGCAACUGCAGAUUACAAUGAAUGUAGACUCAAGGGACUGAUAAUAUCCAAGAGCCAGAAGAGAAUGAAAACAUCAAAUAAACAAUUGAAGAAUUGGAAGCUGUGGUGCUGUUUAUACAUUGGUCAGAUAGAAAAGUUUACAUUGGAACCAACCUUAGCCCAGAGAUGAAAAGUAAAUUCAUUGAAAUUUUUAAAGCUAACACAUAUUGUUAAUUGCUAAACUUCCUUGGCCUUUCCUUUCAAUUGUUCGGUGUAUAUGCAGUCUUGGGGGAUCUGGUAGCAUUCUCGGGAUGUGCGUUGCUAUCCCCGGAUGUAGAAUACUCCAGGGGGUGGGAAAUUUUAUGACUUGGUACAAACUAGAGGGGACGACUUUCAUGGUGUAUAUCCAUGAUCACCCUAUGAUGGCACUGUACGUCGUAUCCUCAUCCAUGAUGUGGAACAUGGUCUCCAAGGUGACGCCGACGGCCAGAACGGCAGUGCGACUCUCCAGAUGUCCUCUCAACUACAUUGUUAAAACCUAUUAGCGUGAUGCAACGUGGCACUAUCUUUUCCUAGAGCUUCACUUGGGUUAGAACUCGAGGAUGGAUGAUGCACGCUCUACUUCCAUCAUCGACCAUAAAACGUCUUACAUCAGUAUCAAAAACACGUAAAGUAAUGACAAGAGUGUCAUAGUGAGGGAAGACCAAACCGUGGGUUUCUAACUUAUCGAACAUGAUACUUUCUUCGAGUUCAUCAUACAAUUUAUGGGUGACCGACCGCUUGAGUUUUUAGGCGGUGGUGAACUUCAGAUUAUUGAUAAAUGCGCCAUCGCCUCCUCCGAUAAUCAUUUGAAUGGUCUGAACUAGGGAUGGUAGUUUGGGCGGCCCCUGGUGUUAUUAUCUCCCUCGGGUGAAGUUGGCCUUCCCAUGAUCGCUCAUCAGCUCUUUCAGGUGUCCUUUGUGAAGCAUGUUCAAGACCUCUUAUGUAAGGGCGAUGAAAUCCUCGGUUCUAUGGACUCGUUCCUAGUGGAACUCGCAGAGGUCAUUUGACUUUCUAGUGCUCGUGACAGAUUUCAUCUUGUGUGGCCAUUUUACCAUUAGACCAAGCUUUUUUUGUGCGUAGACUAUAUCUGGGGAAAACACAAAAAUUGUGAGUUGAUAAUAAGGGGGCAUACCUCUUUCAUUUCGGUGAAUUCCCGUUCAUAGCCUAGAUGGGCCUUCAUCGUGGCGUUAAGGCGGCAUGAGGGUGCCUCUGACAUAAGGCCGAUGUCUUUCUCAAUUAGGUCGAGAUCCUGCUUGAUCCCUCUUACUAUCAUUUCUCCGAUCUUUCCUGGACUCUAUUUGGACCGAAGUUAGACAUUGAGAUCAUCUUCGAUGGUUCUUACCUUGGCAAAGUAGGCGUUGUGUAUCUCGUCCCAAGUAGUUGAAGGGUAUUUCAUGAGUGGGCUCAGCAAUUCUUUUGUUGCCCGCGACCCACUUCUACUUAUCCCAUUCUGGAAUGAGGCUACCGUCAUUCCUUCAGAUACAUUUAGAAGGAUCAUUUUUACACGAUUGAACGAGGCGAGGAAGUCCCUAAGCCCUUCGCCAAGUGAUUGCUUAAUGGUGAAUAUGUCGUUCACCCUCGCCUCUAAUCUUUUGCCCCGGCAUGGGCGGUGAAGAACUUUUCAGCUAUUUUCUCGUACGUUUCUAUAGAGCGCGCAGGUCACUGCGAGUACCAAGUCAGUGAUCUGCAGGUUAAGGUCUCUCCAAAUUUCUUCAGCAAUAUGUAUGAUACGUGUUCUUUACUGAGGUUGUUGCCUUUACUGCAGUGACAUAGUGGGUUACAUGAUCCUCAGGGUCCGUCGUGCCGUCAUAUAUUUUCAAUUAUGGCGGUAUUUUGAAAAGUUUUGGUAUGGCGUGUGGUGCAGCCUCGUCGCUAUAUGGUUGCUCGAUAAUCCAACCGACGUCUUUUUUUGGCAGAAGUUUGGGGGCACCUAGUAUUUUGUCUACCUUUUCUUAGUGCUCUUUUACUUGGUGAUGGAGUAUUUUGUUCUCGUUCUCCAUAUCCUCCAUUUUCCUCAAAAUGGUUGUGAGGGUGUCAUUACCUACAUCACUAUCAUUCUGAGUAAUACCUGAUAUGUGGGGGGAUUAAAGCAAUUGAUCGCAGAAUAGGUCANNNNNNNNNNNNNNNNNNNNNNNNNNNNNNNNNNNNNNNNNNNNNNNNNNNNNNNNNNNNNNNNGGGGGGGGGGGGGGGGAGCUGAUGCGACACCAGCUCUUGUUUCUUCCUUAUUCGACCUCCGAGUGAGCUUGUCGAGGAAGUCGGUUAACGUAUUUGUUAACCAUGACUCAAGUAACGUUUUCAUUGCUUGUGGUGUUUCUUCUGUCGGGGAUGCAGAGGCACCUUUUCCGUGUGAGGUCGUGACGUUGUCGGGAGGUGGAGGCGAGUUGUUUUGCCUGGAAAAGUUGUUUGGUGUUAUGUCUUCACCCUUUGUUUCGUUUAUUUCGUUAAUGGUGUUGAGGAGAUUGGUGGUGAGAUCAGCUAUCGCAUUUCUCUUUUCUCCCAUUGCCUGCAUAUCAGAUUUUUGCAAACAAGGAAAUACAAGAUUUUGCAAGGCUUUGUGCGUUAUUUUUAUUAGAUCUAGAAGAAACUAAAACUUUAACUAGAAAGUCCCACAGACGGCGCCAAAUUAUUUGACCAAAUAGUGUUAAGCCUUUUAGCUAAACUAAUUAUAUAAAAUGAUGAUGGGUAAAUUCUAAUUAAAUAUAAUAAGUCUUAGAUCCAAGAUUGAUGGAUAUCAAUGAUAUAAAAAUUGCAUUCAAGGUUAUUAAAUAUCAAAUGUGUGUUUAAUUAUAUUGUUAUGAAUGAAUGAGAGGACAGUGACAAGCAAUAAAUAUGAUAAAUGACAGUAAAGGUAAAUAAAGAGUAUGAUUCACCGAAAUAUUCAAUGAGGUGAAUGAUUCUCCCUCUAACAGUGAUUUAAGGUAGCCAAAUGUGGGAAUAUAGAGAAUUUUAUAGAUCUGAUGUAAGAAAUGUUAGGACAAACAACAACUUGAAUCUUGUGCAAAUAUAUUGUUUAUGGUUACUUGAUAGUCAACUUUUCUAUAGAGAGCUUAUCAUAUAGAAUAUUACUUCUCUCUUUUUUUCUCUCUAUCUUCCUACUUAUAUGAGACAUAUUCCUUAUCUACUGAAAGUACAAGUGAGAGAAUAUUUUGCAGAAUAUUUCUUUAAAAUAUCUUAUUGUUAAACUAGCUGUUUUGGCCGAUUUGAAUGCUCGACUUGACCUUAGCUGCUCGGCUCGCCAAUGUUACUUCUUAAGCAUGACCUCAGCCUAAUUGAUUCUUGAUUGCCCUCUUUCAAGCGAGGUCCCUUGAUCAGAUUUUGACCCAUACAUUUAUGAUGAUACUAUUAUUCUUAUGAUAUCUGUUGGUGGUACUAAUAUUGUCUCUUUUCGCCUUCUUGAGCCGAAGGUCUUCCGGAAACAGUCUCUCUACUCCCUCGGGGUAGGCGUAAGAUCUGCAUACACACUACCUCCUCAAACCCCACUAGUGAAAUUUUACUGAAUUGUUGUUGUAUACCAACAUCGCUAUCACUUUAGCUAAUUUAACUGAUUAUAACACGUGGUGUGCUAUUAUUCUAGAAUAUUCCCCCAUGAAUAUUAUUAUAAAUAGACUUUAAACAACUUAAUUGAGUAAAUAUAGACCACUUUACAUGAGAUUUUGAUGUUAAGGCGUAGAAAAUUAGUUUAAUAAAACCUAUGAGAUCCUUGUAUAAUCAUUCUAUUUUCUAUUCAAAUCUUAACAAGUUAUUUUGUACCUAUUUUUCUUUCUUGACUCGUUAAUGGAAAACAUCAAGUAACGUAUUUAAAAUAAUAUCGAGUCUAGAGCUUUCUCGUGUAAAAGAAACCAAUUCGAAAAUAACACCUUGAAAUGAUCGCUUUAAAUUAUUCAUUUAUAAUUACAAUAGCAUUUUCUACGAAUAUGCAAUUUUUUUUAAGAUGUGGGUUUAACUUCUAUACAUUACUGACUAUGCAACUAUCAUGCUAUUUAAAAGGAAAUUAAAAAUAACUACAAUCUAUGAUGAAUGAAAUUAGUAACUUGAAAGAUAAGACUAGUAACUCACUACAAACAUGUUAAAUUAUACUGAUAAUAUAAAAAUUCAUUACACUCCACGAAGAGCUCAUAUGUUCAAUAUACAAUUUCCAUUAAUUCAAUAUUCAAAAUAGUUACAUCAAUUGCAGAAUUUCAAAAAUUUAUUUAACGUAGUAAGGAAGAUCAAGGACAUAAAGGAGGAAAUAAGCCCAAGUGACACCAGAAAUUCCACCAAAAAAGAAACCACCUGUGAACUUAGACCAUCCCUCUGCUGUUUGCAAUUGGUCUGGCACCUUUUUCCUCCCUGUCAAUGUCAAUGCUGGUGCUGUUGAUGCCUCUCCUUCUUUGAAUGAUGAUAUUCCAUAAAUGGUCAAGCAUAUGCUGAGAAUCACUACAAGUCCUGCUGCUGCCAAUGAACCAGCUCCUCCUGCAUUAACAGUUAGCGGUGUCAAAUGAACGGGUUAGGCUGAAUUUGAGCAGGUUAAAAUGGGUUGAGUUAAUAAAGGGAACAAUCAUUAACCUGUCUAAACUUGGACAGGGUGUUUNNNNNNNNNNNNUUGGGGGGGGGGGGGGUCAUAUUUUCAUGGACAUUCAGCUGAACUCUGACAUCUUUGACACGGAGCUUACAUAUAUAUAUUUAAAGUAUUACUAGAUUUUUAACAAAUAUUAAAUUUUGAGCCGAUACUUUUUGGAGUACAAUGAGUUCAUCGUUAAGAAUAUAAAUGCAUGAAGUUAAAAUUUUGAAAUGGACUUUACCUGCAUAUUCAGUAUUUCUUAAUGGACCAGCCUUUACAAAUGGGCCAACUAGUAGGAAUCCAUGGGCCAGGCCCACCUCUACUCCUCGGAGAAGUGGGUUCACUGCGGUCCGGUAGGCCGGUAAGUUGGAUAGGUACCAAGCAAUCAAUGGGCUUGAGGUCACUGGAGUUUCAAGACUUCCAAUGAAAGGGUCACCAUUCAAGGGCUGAAUCACUUGGUAAGUGGGCUGCAUAACCAAGAAAGAAAAAAAAAAUUAAUUUAAAUAGCUUCUCACCUAACUGUUUAAACUAAAAGUAGCCAUUAUUGUUAGAUGCAAAUAUUAUGUAUAUAUAUAUACAUAAUAUUUAUGUAUAAUUUAUGUAUACGUGCUAAGAAAAAAAUAAUAUAAUUACGUAAAGAUCCCAAAACAAAAAAAAUAGACAAAGUAAAGGACAAUUGUUGAGAAUUGUUGGCAUUUGCAGCCGUACCCAUUUUUUGUGCCACAUUUUAACUUGUUCCCGCUUUGUCUUUCUGUUUAUAAGCAUACCCACUUUUUCACAUAACUUCAGCCCACGGGGCUGAAGUGUUUUUUUGCACAGGAAAACUUCGGCUGAAGUUUUACUUAAGCUCUAGAGCUUAAGUUUACUUAAGCCGUUUCCAACUUAAGUUGUCCACUUAUAAAAUAAACACUUAAGUUAUUUCCAGUUUAAGUUGUCCAGUUAUAAAAUAAAAACAAACACUUCCGCCCCGUGAGCUGAAGUUAUAUGAAAAAGUGGGUACCGAUGCAAACAGAAAGACAAAGCGGCUACAGGUUAAAAGGGGCACCCUAUUGCAAUUUUUACGAAUUGUUGACACCCACAAACAUGGUCCAAAGGUGUUUAAUUGGUUUUGUCUAAAAAUUAUAUUGUGUACAUAAAUAACAAAUUUACUAAAUAUAUGUACAUUUUGAAUCUUUUUAUAUAAGAGAUUAAGUUCUAACAUAAUGGCAAACGUGAAGCAAUAUAGUUGUUUAGAUAGCCAAAUUCUAGAUCUCAUGUAACCUAUGUUGGAUUUAGGACUUUGUAUGCCAAAGCAAAAAGGUUAAGCACAACAUAUAUAUAUAUAUAUAUAAACACACUCUAUAUUUUAUAUACAAAAAAUAUACAAGUUUUAUACACUUUUUCAAUUACUAAAUAUAAAUUCAAGAACAUGAUAAGAACAAAUUAAGAGUGAAAAGAAGUAAUUUAAUAUCUUACUUUGUCUGUUUGGACAGCCUUGAUGGUGAAACAAGAUUUUCUAGUUGAAGGAAAGAUUUUAAAAGGAGCACCAGAAAUGCCUUUGGGAGUAACAAGUCCACUGCCUCUUGUUAAAGAAGAAGCAAAUUUGCUCUUGAGCUGGCUGGCCAUUGUGGUGGAAACAGCAGUAGCCAUUUUGGAAAGCUCUUGUUAAAGACGAAGCAAAUUUGAUCUUGAGCUGGCUGGCCAUUGGGGAAGCAGCAGUUGCCAUUUUGGAAUAAUUGUUAAGACACUUAGGUCAGUCAAGAAAUUAUAACAAAGAUGCAAACAUAUGAACAUUGGAAUAUGUUUUGCUGGCAUACAAAAUCU
rnacentral:lncRNA from 1 species